GAGCAAUGUUUAAACGUUGAGCGCUGUGCCGCCGCGAAAAUGAUGAUCCCAUACCGUCCCUCUACCCGAACUUAAGAGUAGAAUUAUUAAAGGUAAUGUAAAAUUGUAGAGCUGCUUAUGUCCUAAAUUGUAAAAUAAAAUUCUGAAUAAAAAAGGUAAUUACCGCGAUAUCUUAAUGAUUAUAAUUUCGUGAAACACCCUGACAAGAGCCGAGAUCGGAUAAACCUCAGAAUUUCCGCUUAGGAUAUAGAUGGGAAUACAUGUAUAAAUGUAAGUAACGAUAAACCAUUGCUAAAGAAAAAAUGAUUCUAAGAGGUCGAUAGUGUUGUUUUAUAUGUCAUUGU